UAUGAUGAUCAUUUUCGUAUAAUAUACGCUGGAAAUUACCGGCUGAAACCCUUCGGGUCGUUGACGAUAUUAAAUGGCUAUUUCUGAUU
rnacentral:snoRNA from 15 species